rnacentral:rRNA from 1 species
UUCCGGUUGAUCCUGCCGGACCUGACUGCUAUCGGAUUGAUACUAAGCCAUGCGAGUCUUUGCAGUAAUGCAAGGCAUACGGCUCAGUAACACGUAGUCAACUUACCCUAUGGACGAGGAUAAUCUCGGGAAACUGAGCAUAAUACUCGAUAGAUCAUAAUGCCUGGAAUGGUUUAUGGUUAAAAUGAUUCGUCGCCAUAGGAUGGGACUGCGGCCUAUCAGCUUGUUGGUGAGGUAAUGGCCCACCAAGGCGAUUACAGGUACGGGCUCUGAGAGGAGAAGCCCGGAGAUGGGUACUGAGACAAGGACCCAGGCCCUAUGGGGCGCAGCAGGCGAGAAAACUUUGCAAUGUGCGAAAGCACGACAAGGUUAAUCCGAGUGAUUUCUGCUAAAGGAAUCUUUUGUUAGUUCUAAAUCUACUAGUGAAUAAGGGGUGGGCAAGUUCUGGUGUCAGCCGCCGCGGUAAAACCAGCACCUCAAGUGGUCAGGAGGAUUAUUGGGCCUAAAGCAUCCGUAGCCUGUUCUAUAAGUUUGCGGUUAAAUCUAUACGCUCAACGUAUAGGCUGCCGUAAAUACUGUAGAACUAGGGAGUGGGAGAGGUAGACGGUACUCGGUAGGAAGGGGUAAAAUCCUUUGAUCUAUCGAUGACCACCUGUGGCGAAGGCGGUCUACCAGAACACGUUCGACGGUGAGGGAUGAAAGCUGGGGGAGCAAACCGGAUUAGAUACCCGGGUAGUCCCAGCUGUAAACGAUGCAGACUCGAUGAUGCAUUGGCAUAUAGCCAGUGCAGUGUCGCAGGGAAGCCGUUAAGUCUGCCGCCUGGGAAGUACGUACGCAAGUAUGAAACUUAAAGGAAUUGGCGGGGGAGCACCACAAGGGGUGAAGCCUGCGGUUCAAUUGGAUUCAACGCCGGG